CAGAGAGAGGGAAACAGGUCAGGGAGAGAGAGACAGAGAGAGGGAAACAGGUCAGGGAGAGAGAGACAGAGAGAGGGAAACAGGUCAGGGAGAGAGAGACAGAGAGAGGGAAACAGGUCAGGGAGAGAGAGACAGAGAGAGGGAAACAGGUCAGGGAGAGAGAGACAGAGAGAGGGAAACAGGUCAGGGAGAGAGAGACAGAGAGAGGGAAACAGGUCAGGGAGAGAGAGACAGAGAGAGGGAAACAGGUCAGGGAGAGAGAGACAGAGAGAGGGAAACAGGUCAGGGAGAGAGAGACAGAGAGAGGGAAACAGGUCAGGGAGAGAGAGACAGAGAGAGGGAAACAGGUCAGGGAGAGAGAGACAGAGAGAGGGAAACAGGU